UUAAAUGUAGUACCACCAUUGUACCACAAUAGGUUUAGAUGGUUUCCUUUUCUAAAAACACCGUAUUUUUGUUGUACUGCACAUUGCUGCAGAUCCUGU